rnacentral:rRNA from 1 species
GACGAACGCUGGCGGCAUGCCUAAUACAUGCAAGUCGAGCGAACAGAUGAAGUGCUUGCACUUCUGACGUUAGCGGCGAACGGGUGAGUAACACGUAAGGAAUCUGCCUAUAAGCGGGGGAUAACAUUCGGAAACGGGUGCUGAUACCGCAUAAUAUCUUCUUCCGCAUGGAAGAAGAUUGAAAGACGGCUCUGCUGUCACUUAUAGAUGACCUUGCGGUGCAUUAGUUAGUUGGUGGGGUAACGGCCUACCAAGACGAUGAUGCAUAGCCGACCUGAGAGGGUGAUCGGCCACAUUGGGACUGAGACACGGCCCAAACUCCUACGGGAGGCAGCAGUAGGGAAUCUUCCGCAAUGGGCGAAAGCCUGACGGAGCAAUGCCGCGUGAGUGAAGAAGGCCUUCGGGUCGUAAAACUCUGUUAUAAGAGAAGAACGAAUUGUAGAGUAACUGCUACAGUCUUGACGGUAUCUUAUCAGAAAGCCACGGCUAACUACGUGCCAGCAGCCGCCGUAA